rnacentral:lncRNA from 10 species
GUGAGCUCACCACUGUACUCCAGCAUGAGCAGCAGAGCAAGACUAUCUCAAAACAAAGAAAGAAACAAAAAACAAAAAAGGAAAAAUGUGCAAAUAAUACAAACAAGCCUAUGAUAGAAGAAAAAAUACAAAUGGCCAAUAUGCAUAGGAAAGGUGCUCAGUAUUACUAACAAUUUCAAGAACCAUAAUUAAAACAAUUAGCUAACUUUUGUUGCAUAUCAGGUUGGCAAAGUAUAAGGAGAUUCAGAAAACCAAAUGCUAAUGAGUUUAUGAAUAAAUUGGCAUUCUCAUUUGCUGUUAGCUACAGCAUGACUUGAUAAGUCAUUUUUGGAAAGCAUUUUGGCAAAUUUUAUCAAAAUGUUAUCCAAUUUUAUCAAAACAUAUUUUUCGCUGGGUGCCAUGGCUCAUGCCUAUAAUCCCAGCACUUUGGGAGGCCGAGGUGGGCAGAUCACCUAAGGUCAGGAGUUCGAGAUCAACCUGGCCAACAUGGUGAAACCCUGUCUCUGCUAAAAAUACAAAAAUUAGCUGGGCAUGGUGGUGGGUGCCCAUAAUCCCAGCUAUUCAGGAGGCUGAGACAGGGAGAAUCGCUUGAGGCCGGGAGGCAGAGGUUGCAGGGAGCUGAGAUCGUGCCAUUGUACUCCAGCCUGGGUGACAGAGUGAGACUCCGUCUCAAAAAAAAAAAAAUGUCUGUUUAUGCAUAUGUGUGUGUGUGUGUGUGCAUGCAUGUAAAAACAGAAAAAUGACUGUAAAUAGGAAACAAUGUUUAUCUCUGAGGAGGUACAUGGAGUUUUGUGGGGAGUCUUUAAAUCUUUACGGUGACAACGUACUGAUGACUUAUUUAUGUAAGUUUUUCUUUUUUUUUUUUGAGAUGGAGUCCGGCUCUGUUGCCCAAACU